rnacentral:rRNA from 1 species
CCUACGGUGGCAGCAGUGGGGAAUAUUGGACAAUGGGCGAAAGCCUGAUCCAGCCAUGCCGCGUGUGUGAAGAAGGCCUUCGGGUUGUAAAGCACUUUCAGUGGGGAAGAAAGCCUUGGGGCUAAUACCCUCGAGGAAGGACAUCACCCACAGAAGAAGCACCGGCUAACUCCGUGCCAGCAGCCGCGGUAAUACGGAGGGUGCGAGCGUUAAUCGGAAUUACUGGGCGUAAAGCGCGCGUAGGCGGUCUGAUAAGCCGGUUGUGAAAGCCCCGGGCUCAACCUGGGAACGGCAUCCGGAACUGUCAGGCUAGAGUGCAGGAGAGGAAGGUAGAAUUCCCGGUGUAGCGGUGAAAUGCGUAGAGAUCGGGAGGAAUACCAGUGGCGAAGGCGGCCUUCUGGACUGACACUGACGCUGAGGUGCGAAAGCGUGGGUAGCAAACAGGAUUAGAUACCCUGGAGUC